AAUCCAUGUUGCGGGCAUCUCCUCAAAAGGUCCCUAAAAAUUUCCCAAGUCUCAAAGAAAGGUUCCAAAUCAGCCUACACAUAAGAAGAAAUUUCAUUACGAAGUUC